rnacentral:rRNA from 1 species
UGCAAGUCGAACGCAGUAGCAAUACUGAGUGGCAGACGGGUGAGUAUAAUGUGGGAAUCUGCCUUUUGGUUCGGAAUAACACGAGGAAACUUGUGCUAAUACCGGAUAAGCCUUUACAGGGAAAGUUUUAAUGCCAAAAGAUGAGCCCGCACUUGAUUAGCUAGUUGGUAAGGUAAUGGCUUACCAAGGCAACGAUCAAUAGCUGUUCUUAGAGGAAGACCAGCCACAUUGGGACUGAGACACGGCCCAAACUCCUACGGGAGGCAGCAGUGGGGAAUCUUGCACAAUGGGGGAAACCCUGAUGCAGCGAUGCCGCGUGAGUGAAGAAGGCCUUUGGGUUGUAAAACUCUUUCGUCGGGGAAGAAAAUGACUGUACCCGAAUAAGAAGGUCCGGCUAACUUCGUGCCAGCAGCCGCGGUAAUACGAAGGGACCUAGCGUAGUUCGGAAUUACUGGGCUUAAAGAGUUCGUAGGUGGUUAAAAUAGUUGAUGGUGAAAUCCCAAGGCUCAACCUUGGAACUGCCAUCAAAACUUUUUAGCUAGAGUAUGAUAGAGGAAAGUGGAAUUUCUAGUGUAGAGGUGAAAUUCGUAGAUAUUAGAAAGAACAUCAAAAGCGAAGGCAACUUUCUGGAUCAUUACUGACACUGAGGAACGAAAGCAUGGGUAGCGAAGAGGAUUAGAUACCCUCGUAGUCCAUGCCGUAAACGAUGUGUGCUAGACGUUGGAAACUUAGUUUUACAGUGUCGCAGAGAAAUCGUUAAG